GAUAGAGGGGGAUACCAGUUGGAAACGACUGUUAAUACCGCAUAAUGUCUACGGACCAAAGUGUGGGACCUUCGGGCCACAUGCUAUCGGAUGUGCCUACGUGGGAUUAGCUAGUUGGUGAGGUAAUGGCUCACCAAGGCGACGAUCCCUAGCUGGUUUGAGAGGAUGAUCAGCCACACUGGAACUGAGACACGGUCCAGACUCCUACGGGAGGCAGCAGUGGGGAAUAUUGGACAAUGGGCGCAAGCCUGAUCCAGCCAUGCCGCGUGUGUGAAGAAGGCCUUCGGGUUGUAAAGCACUUUCAGUAGGGAGGAAGCGUUUGUGUGUUAAUAGUACACAGCGUUGACGUUACCUACAGAAGAGCACCGGCUAAACUCUGUGCCAGCAGCCGCGGGUAUACAGAGGGUGCAAGCGUUUAUCGGAAUUACUGGGCCGUAAAGCGCACGUAAGCGUUUUUUAAGUCAGAUGGUGAAAGCCCGGGCUCAACUGGGAUUGCAUUUGAAACUGGAAAACUAGAUGUGNNAGAAGGGGUAGAAUUCCAAGUGGUANGCGUGUAAAUGCGNUAAAGAAUUUGGAAGAAUAACAAUGGCGAAAGCGGCCCCCUGGCACAACACUUGACGCUCUCAGGUGCGAAAGCGCUGGGGAGCAAACAGGAUUAGAUACCCUGAUAGUCCACGCCGGUAAACGAUGUCUACUAACUGUUCCUGACCUUGUGUCGUGAGUAGCGCAGCUAACGCAUUAAGUAGACCGCCUGGGGAGUACGGUCGCAAGAUUAAAACUCAAAUGAAUUGACGGGGGCCCGCACAAGCGGUGGAGCAUGUGGUUUAAUUCGACGCAACGCGAAGAACCUUACCUACUCUUGACAUCUACAGAAGACUGCAGAGAUGCGGUUGUGCCUUCGGGAACUGUAAGACAGGUGCUGCAUGGCUGUCGUCAGCUCGUGUUGUGAAAUGUUGGGUUAAGUCCCGCAGCGAGCGCAACCCUUAUCCUUAGUUGCCAGCACGUUAUGGUGGGAACUCUAGGGAGACUGCCGGUGAUAAACCGGAGGAAGGUGGGGACGACGUCAAGUCAUCAUGGCCCUUACGAGUAGGGCUACACACGUGCUACAAUGGUAUGUACAGAGGGAGGCAAGCCUGCGAGGGUGAGCGGAUCUCUUAAAGCAUAUCGUAGUCCGGAUCGCAGUCUGCAACUCGACUGCG
rnacentral:rRNA from 1 species